GCACCUUAAGCAUUGUGGCGAUGUUUCUGUUUUGUAAUCAGACUAGAAGGGUUCGAUUCCCUUAAGGUGCUCCA
rnacentral:tRNA from 1 species